GACGAACGCUGGCGGCGUGCUUAACACAUGCAAGUCGAACGGACAGGCCCUGCUUUUGUUGGUUGCUCGAGUGGCGAACGGGUGAGUAACACGUGAGUAACCUGCCCUUGACUUUGUGAUAUCUUCAGGAAACUGGGGCUCAUACCGCAUAUGAGCUCCUGCUGCAUGUUGUUGGUUGGAAAGUUUCGGCGGUUGGGGAUGGACUCGCGGCUUCUCCGCUUGUUGGUGGGGUAGUGGCUUACCAAGGCUUUGACGGGUAGCCUGCCUGAGAGGGUGACCGGCGACAAGGGGACUGAGAGACGGACCAGACGCCUACGGGAGGCAGCAGUGGGGAAUAUGGCAGAAUGGGCGGAAGCCUGAUGCAGAAACGCUGCGUGCGGGAUGAUGGCCUUCGGGGUGUAAACCGAUGUCGAAGGUGACGAAGAGGGAGUGACGGUAAUGGGUAAAGAAGCAACGGCUAACUACGUG
rnacentral:rRNA from 1 species